rnacentral:rRNA from 1 species
CCCUUAGAUGUCCGGGGCUGCACGCGCGCUACACUGAAUGAAUCAGCGUGCUAGAAAACCUUGUUUGACAUGGCUAGGUAACCCAUUGAAAAUCAUUCGUGAUUGGGAUCGGGAUUUGCAAAUGUGUCCCUUGAACGAGGAAUUCCCAGUAAGUGCGGGUCAUCAGCUCGCGUUGAUUACGUCCCUGCCCUUUGUACACACCGCCCGUCGCUACUACCGAUUGGAUGGUUUAGUGAGAUCCUCGGAUUGGUCACGGCACGGUGGCAACACUGCGUCGGUGUGCCGAGAAGACGAUCAAACUUGAUCAUCUAGAGGAAGUAAAAGUCGUAACA